rnacentral:rRNA from 1 species
AGAGUUUGAUCAUGGCUCAGGAUGAACGCUGGCGGCGUGCUUAACACAUGCAAGUCGAGCGAGAUUCUAUAAACCAAUCUUCGGAGGAAUUUUGUAGAUGAAAGCGGCGGACGGGUGAGUAACGCGUAGGCAACCUACCUUACACAAAGGGAUAGCCUCGGGAAACUGGGAUUAAUACCUUAUAAUACUUUGAGAUCGCAUGAUUUUGAAGUCAAAGAUUUAUCGGUGUAAGAUGGGCCUGCGUCUGAUUAGCUAGUUGGUGGGGUAACGGCCUACCAAGGCGACGAUCAGUAGCCGACCUGAGAGGGUGAUCGGCCACACUGGAACUGAGACACGGUCCAGACUCCUACGGGAGGCAGCAGUGGGGAAUAUUGCACAAUGGGCGAAAGCCUGAUGCAGCAACGCCGCGUGAGCGAUGAAGGCCUUCGGGUCGUAAAGCUCUGUCCUAAGGGAAGAAUAAAUGACGGUACCUUAGGAGGAAGCCCCGGCUAACUACGUGCCAGCAGCCGCGGUAAUACGUAGGGGGCAAGCGUUAUCCGGAAUUAUUGGGCGUAAAGAGUGCGUAGGUGGAUUUACAAGCCUUGGGUGAAAGGCUACGGCUUAACCGUAGUAAGCCUUGGGAACUGUAAGUCUUGAGUGCAGGAGAGGAAAGCGGAAUUCCUAGUGUAGCGGUGAAAUGCGUAGAUAUUAGGAGGAACACCAGUGGCGAAGGCGGCUUUCUGGACUGUAACUGACACUGAGGCACGAAAGCGUGGGGAGCAAACAGGACUAGAUACCCUGGUAGUCCACGCCGUAAACGAUGAGUACUAGGUGUCGGGAUCGCGAGGUCUCGGUGCCGCAGCUAACGCAUUAAGUACUCCGCCUGGGGAGUACGCUCGCAAGAGUGAAACUCAAAGGAAUUGACGG